AAGGCUUGACAUGAACCGGAAACACCUGGAAACAGGUGCCCCGCUUGCGGUCGGUUUACAGGUGGUGCAUGGUUGUCGUCAGCUCGUGUCGUGAGAUGUUGGGUUAAGUCCCGCAACGAGCGCAACCCUCGUUCCAUGUUGCCAGCGCGUAAAGGCGGGGACUCAUGGGAGACUGCCGGGGUCAACUCGGAGGAAGGUGGGGACGACGUCAAAUCAUCAUGCCCCUUAUGUCUUGGGCUUCACGCAUGCUACAAUGGCCGGUACAAUGGGUUGCGAUACUGUGAGGUGGAGCUAAUCCCAAAAAGCCGGUCUCAGUUCGGAUUGGGGUCUGCAACUCGACCCCAUGAAGUCGGAGUCGCUAGUAAUCGCAGAUCAGCAACGCUGCGGUGAAUACGUUCCC
rnacentral:rRNA from 1 species